rnacentral:lncRNA from 1 species
GACAAUAGGACAAUCGAAACUAAAAAAUGAAAAUAAACAUUAUUUUACUUUAAUUGUUUUUGGUGGUUUUAUGCUUAAUGUUUUUUUAGGUUUUUAGGUGAUUUCAAGGGUGGAUGAGAUCUCUUCUCCGUUGGUUUUUGGUUAGUUGCUGAAUCGCUUUAGAGGUUAACAUAGGAUCCUCGCAGAUCUUGAUGGCCAUCGCGGAUCUAUCGUGAUUGGGCUUUUGAUUGAGUCAUCCACUGUCGUGACUUGCUUCCUCUGGGCAGAUUCGAAGGUAUCUCAUCCAGCGAGUCGUUUUCUUUGCCAGAUCCUGGAAAGAGAGGCUUCGUCCAAAGUUUGGCUUGCUUGGUCUAAAAGAUUUCAACAACGUGCUGCGCGUCGAUGAUUGACCAUUUCGGGAGAUUCGUGGCGAGUUGGUAGUUCGAGGGAAUAGGAACGGUGAUGUAGGUCAGAUGGUUCAUCCCCGUUCACUAGAUAACUCGAUCCGGCCGCAAAGCUGUGGAUCUUGCAUCCGCCGAUUUUCAUGAUCUAAUUAGCUGCACGAUGGUGUCAAUGUAACGCAAGUCUUUUUCCUGGUGACGGCGGAAUUACGUUUUGCCUUUUGCCCUAGUUUCACUAUGUAACCAAAGGCUCAGCCUAGUAAAGGGUUUACUAAAUAAAAAAAGCCCGUUAUAUUAAAAAAAAAAAAAUUGUUUGCUUCAGAACACGAAAAAUAGAUAAUUUUGAUAAAUGCUC